rnacentral:tRNA from 1 species
GCGGAAGUGGCGAAAUUGGUAGACGCACCAGAUUUAGGUUCUGGCGCCGCGAGGCGUAAGAGUUCAAGUCUAUUCUUCCGCACCA